rnacentral:rRNA from 1 species
GAUGAACGCUGGCGGCGUGCCUAAUACAUGCAAGUCGAGCGAACAGACGAGGAGCUUGCUCCUCUGACGUUAGCGGCGGACGGGUGAGUAACACGUGGAUAACCUACCUAUAAGACUGGGAUAACUUCGGGAAACCGGAGCUAAUACCGGAUAAUAUAUUGAACCGCAUGGUUCAAUAGUGAAAGACGGUCUUGCUGUCACUUAUAGAUGGGUCCGCGCUGCAUUAGCUAGUUGGUAAGGUAACGGCUUACCAAGGCAACGAUGCGUAGCCGACCUGAGAGGGUGAUCGGCCACACUGGAACUGAGACACGGUCCAGACUCCUACGGGAGGCAGCAGUAGGGAAUCUUCCGCAAUGGGCGAAAGCCUGACGGAGCAACGCCGCGUGAGUGAUGAAGGUCUUCGGAUCGUAAAACUCUGUUAUUAGGGAAGAACAAAUGUGUAAGUAACUAUGCACGUCUUGACGGUACCUAAUCAGAAAGCCACGGCUAACUACGUG